CUACAAAAGAAAGAGAAGGAAGAAAUUGAAAGGAAGGAAAGGGAAGAAAAGAAAUUGAUGACAACAUAUCCUAAUCUAGAACCCAAAAGGGGAGGUCUUCUAUCCUUUAACUUUCCUUCAAUUGAAAUUAAAUGUUCCAAAUUCAUCUUUUCUUUCCAAAAUAUUGCCAUCACAUCUUUUCCAAAGUUGCAAUUUUUAACAUAUGGCAAUCAAAAACUUGAGUUAGAGUUACCUUUUUGGUUAUCACUAACUCAAGAUAAAAAUAAAUUCUCAAAUGAAGAAUGGUUUCUUUAUAAUCAUCAUAUUGAAAAUUUUAAAAUUAAGAAACCUUCUUCUAAAAAUACUCUUUUAUAUACUUUGGGUCAUAGAAAAC
rnacentral:lncRNA from 1 species